AUUGAACGCUGGCGGCAGGCCUAACACAUGCAAGUCGAACGAGCGGCGGACGGGUGAGUAAUGUCUGGGAAACUGCCUGAUGGAGGGGGAUAACUACUGGAAACGGUAGCUAAUACCGCAUACCAUCAGAUGUGCCCAGAUGGGAUUAGCUAGUAGGUGGGGUAAUGGCUCAACUAGGCGACGAUCCCUAGCUGGUCUGAGAGGAUGACAGGCAACACUGUAACUGAGACAGGGUGCAGACGCAUACGGGAGGCAGCAGUGGGGAAUAUUGCACAAGGGGCGCAAGCCUGAUGUAGCGAUGCGGAGUGUGUGAAGAAGGCCUUCGAGUUGUAAAGGACUUUCAGCGAUGAGGCGUUACUCGCAGAAGAAGGACCAGCGAAAUCCGUGCCAGAAGCCGCGGUAAUAC
rnacentral:rRNA from 1 species